UCAACCGUGGAGGGUCAUGGAAACUGGAAAACUUGAGUGCAGAAGAGGAAAGUGGAUUCCAUGUGUAGCGGUGAAAUGCGCAGAGAUAUGGAGGAACACCAGUGGCGAAGGCGACUUCUGGUCUGUAACUGACGCUGAUGUGCGAAAGCGUGGGGAUCAAACAGGAUUAGAUACCCGGUAGUCCACGCCGUAAACGAUGAGUGCUAAGUGUUAGGGGGUUUCCGCCCCUUAGUGCUCAGCUAACGCAUUAAGCACUCCGCCUGGGGAGUACGACCGCAAGGUUGAAACUCAAAGGAUUGACGGGGACCCGCACAAGCGGUGGAGCAUGUGGUUUAAUUCGAAGCAACGCGAAGAACUUACCAAAUCUUGACAUCCUUUGACCGCUCUAGAGAUAGAGUUUUCCCCUUCGGGGGACAAGUGACAGGUGGUGCAUGGUUGUCGUCAGCUCGUGUCGUGAGAUGUUGGGUUAAGUCCCGAACGAGCGCAACCCUUAAACUUAGUUGCCAGCAUUCAGUUGGGCACUCUAAGUUGACUGCGGUGACAAACCGGAGGAAGGUGGGGAUGACGUCAAAUCAUCAUGCCCCUUAUGAUUUGGGUACACACGUGCUACAAUGGACAAUACAAAGGGCAGCGAAACCGCGAGGUCAAGCAAAUCCAUAAAGUUGUUCUCAGUUCGGAUUGUAGUCUGCAACUCGACUACAUGAAGCUGGAAUCGCAGUAAUCGUAGAUCAGCAUGCUACGGUGAAUACGUUCCCGGGUCUUGUACACACCGCCCG
rnacentral:rRNA from 1 species